rnacentral:rRNA from 1 species
CGCGUAGGCGGCUACCAAAAGUCAGGGGUGAAAUCCGGCAGCUUAACUGUCGCAGUGCCUUUGAUACUGUGGAGCUAGAGGGAGGUAGGGGUCUGUGGAACUUCCGGUGGAGCGGUGAAAUGCGUUGAUAUCGGAAGGAACGCCGGUGGCGAAAGCGACGGACUGGAUCUCUUCUGACGCUGAGGCGCGAAAGCCAGGGAGCAAAACG